CCUACGGGAGGCAGCAGUGGGGAAUAUUGCACAAUGGGGGAAACCCUGAUGCAGCAACGCCGCGUGAGUGAUGACGGCCUUCCGGUUGUAAAGCUCUGUCUUCAGGGACGAUAAUGACGGUACCUGAGGCGUAAGCCACGGCUAACUACGUGCCAGCAGCCGCGGUAAUACGUAGGUAGCGAGCGUUGUCCGGAUUUACUGGGCGUAAAGGGAGCGUAGGGGGAUUUUUAAGUGAGAUGUGAAAUUCUCGGGCUCAACUUGAGUGCUGCAUUUGAAACUGGAAGCCUAGAGUGCAGGCGAGGUGGAUGGAAUUCGUAGUGUAGCGGUGAAAUGCGUAGAGAUUAGGAAGAACACCAGUGGCGAAGGCGA
rnacentral:rRNA from 1 species